UGGGGAAUAUUGGACAAUGGGCGAAAGCCUGAUCCAGCCAUGCCGCGUGUGUGAAGAAGGUCUUCGGAUUGUAAAGCACUUUAAGUUGGGAGGAAGGGCAGUAAGCGAAUACCUUGCUGUUUUGACGUUACCGACAGAAUAAGCACCGGCUAACUCUGUGCCAGCAGCCGCGGUAAUACAGAGGGUGCAAGCGUUAAUCGGAAUUACUGGGCGUAAAGCGCGCGUAGGUGGUUCGUUAAGUUGAAUGUGAAAGCCCCGGGCUCAACCUGGGAACUGCAUCCAAAACUGGCGGGCUAGAGUAGGGCAGAGGGUGGUGGAAUUUCCUGUGUAGCGGUGAAAUGCGUAGAUAUAGGAAGGAACACCAGUGGCGAAGGCGACCACCUGGGCUCAUACUGACACUGAGGUGCGAAGGCGUGGGGAGCAAACAGG
rnacentral:rRNA from 1 species